AAACAAAACAAAACAAAAGUCGCGUAUCCCGUAGGAGUCAAUGACAGCUCAAGGAUUGACCUCAGCAAGCUGUCAGCCUACUGAAGAGAGAUGAAAACCUGAUGCAAACCGUGCUGCGGCUGCUUCUGUCGGCGGGGAUUUUGAUGACGGCGUCGACACCCGUGUGCGAGCGGCGGGCGUACCUUUGGGCCCGCAGAUGUUUUCCCACGCGGGAACAAACCUCCGGACCACGACCCGAGUCUCUCCUCACGGGGGUGCCAAGGCCAGACGCGCAUCACGGCACCGCCCGCUGCCCCACGCUCUGCCCUGAGAGCCCCGGGAGGGGCUGGAGAGCGGCGCGAAGGAAGGAUGAGGAUAUGUCCAUCGUCCCCCGCCCCAGUCCCCGGUCCUGCGGCCCUUCGGAGCCCGGAGGCAAGAGGGGCCGGGGCGGGCGCCCGUCCCGGGCUCCGGUGCGGGGCGCUGCGGGCGGACAAGCGGGAGAGCCUGCGCGGCGGCCGGGGCGUGGGGAAAGUCGAAGGGGAGAAGCGGAAAAUAACAUUUUGAAACCCCUGAUUUCUGCCAGCAGCAAACUUGUCAUGAACUUUGGUCUCACCAGAAAGUUCUCAAAGUGCAGUGACAAGUCUGUCAAUAUGCAGUGGAGAAAUGUGGAGAGUCCAGUGGUCCCAAUGUGGUCCAUCAGUACCAAAAGGAUUCCCAAACUGAAUCAGGGUCAGGCAGUAAGUCUCAAUGACUUUCCCGCUUCCCAAGUGGAUGUUGAAGUAAACAAAGAGGUAAACUGCUGGGCGGGUUGUUGAAGUAAUGCUUUGGCUUUUUGCAGAGGAAUCAAUAGAUGCAAAUCACAUGGAUACAGCCACAUUGUAACCAGCUGCUUUUAAUAAAGCACACAAAGAUAGGAAGCACACACACUUCUGUUUAAGGUGUUUACUGACAGGCACCCAGCCUGGGCAUGACCAGAGGAGGUAUUACCUCAACUCCUCUGCUACAACUGGUCCUUUGAACACAGUGCAAAGCCAUGAAUUACAUGUCCAGUUUCUGGGAGAAAGCACUAAGAAACUCUGCAUCCUGGGUCCAGCAUCCAGAUGUGUUAAGAGUUGCUUAUUGUGUGAAAAGAUGGCUGAAUGUAGGCAGGGAAAUGUACUUUUCCUGCAAUCUCAUUCAAAGAACAGAUUGAAACAGCUCUGCUGAACUUUUUGAAAGGGUUCAGGUCAGCCCUAGGGCUGAGACAUGGCAUGCAUUUAACUCAGCAGCUGCAGUUAAAAAGCCCUGAAACCCACAAUACUCAGAGAAGUGUUCAAGGCAAGGCUGGAUGGGUCUUUGAGCAAUCUGAUCUAGUGAAAAAUGUCCCUGCCUAUGGCGGGGCCAGUUGUUGGAUUAGAUAAUCUUUAAGUCCCCUUCCAACCCAAAUGACUCUAUGAUCUAGAGCGGAGUUUAUUGGGUGGCUCAAGCAUUGGCUUCUCAUGUUAUAAAUGACUGGAUUUUGCAAAAGGCCGAUGCCUUUGCGGUUUAGCAGAGAAGGGAAGUCCAUAGGGGUGUCACUAGUGCAGGGUGUGCAAUGUGCAAUAGGUGGUAUCAGUGAUGUGUUUCUACCCGUUGCUACAGCCCGAUUGCUGUGGGCUGUCCUGCCCUCUAGUGCCUGCAGCGACAGCUCCCUCUCUCUUCUCUCCACUCCCCCAAUGCCUGCAGCACAUGCACAUGCACACCCAGGAGCUGCUGACCUCCGUGCCACCCUGGGUGCAGAGCUGGCCGCUCUUCGGCCUUACCUGCCUGUCGAGGACAGCUGCUGCUGGGGACACCGACCCAGCAAGGAAACGGUGUUGCUGCAAUGUAUCACAGAUGCACUUUUGUGAGGGAGACUGCCCCACUUCAGGAGCUGGCCUGUGAACAGACAGAGACACUCGGGGCAGUGCAGGCACAUUCUGUCAGUCACGUCUGGUACCAUUUCCAGUAAAACAUCAGGAAAGGAUGAUUACAAAGAAAAUCAAGACUGGACUUAGCGUGUGGCUUCAGCCCCUCACCUGGGUGCCAGGAGUCAGGGACUUAAUGAGGAUUUUGCACUGGCAGAAAUUCCUAGUGGCAGGUACCUCUUUGAACUUGAAAAGCUUGAGGAACAACUGCUUUUGCUCUAUUACCUGUUGAGAUGCCCAUUCAGGUUUGCGAGGAAAGACUAAUAUGACUGAAAAGCAAUUUAUCUAAUUGCUGUAGUAGCAACCUUUCAAAACAGGGAGAGUAAGGAAAUUUUGUUCCAAGAACAUUAUCAAAGCACUUCCAAAGGUUAUUAUGAUGCUCUCAAUGUCCUUCAAGUGCAGGGUGUGGGACAGCAGUACUUUUCAACUGUAAAUCUCCCAGUUUUUUGAUGGAUUGGAUUGUGUAGAAGGGGAUAAUAUUUCCCUGCCAUUCAUUGCACUAGUAACUUAUCUUGGUUCUUACAGCCUGAAAUCAACAAUACCACAUAUGGAAAACAUGUUUUAAUGCUUUACUGUUGCUUAGGUUCCUCUUUCAGCAUGGGUAAGGCACAAUACUUGUAAAUAGAGAGGAAUUAAUUUCUUCUCUCUGAGCCAUUAAUCUCCAUUUACUUGAUGACUUGCAUGUUUGUUACUCAGUUUCCAAAUCCUGUGUUCCUGCUUGAUCUGAUUCUUCCAACUGGGAUGAGAUGGGAUCUGAAGGCUGUUCCUCAGCAACAGGGUCAUAAAAAAAUCCACUGUCAUAAAGAUUGCUGAAGACUGAGGGAAUAAGAUCAGCCAGGUAACGCUUAGCAAAUGCCCGAGCUGCAAUUUUCUCUGUGGUCUCUUUCUGCUUCCGCAGCUUUUCCAAGUGCUCGAGUCUGCGACGUUCCUGUCAAGGCAAUUAUGCAUGUAAAACUUAGAGGCCUUUAGCUGUUACUUCCUUGAUCUAGACUUUGAAGAAUUAUCACAGUGCAAGUCUCUUAAAUAGCAAAGAUAAUUAAAACUGCAGAUAAUCAUAGUCUCUACCUGGUAUUUGCAGCCUCUACCUUUCACAAAAACUCCUCAUAUGAAAGAAUGCUUGAAAGCAAGCUUGUACUCAAUCUAUGAAGUAUUAUAAUAAACAAAAAUUACAGAGAAACACAUUUCUGUGUUCUGUGGUUCACCUUUUCGAUUUUGAGAAGUCUGUAAAAUAAGGGCCUCACAGUUGACCAAUGAAACCCUUCUCUGAUGUCUUAGUAUACAUUGGUCUCAUGCCUUCUUGAUUUAUUAUUGCAGAUCAAGUUGAUCAUUGGCCUUAGAAUGAGAUGAAGUUAGAUGGUAUUUCCUGAACUUUUCAGCUUUCCAAUAUUCUAACCCAUUUGAUGAUUAAAAUGAUUAAAACUCAAAUUAGUCCAGGAAAACAUUAAAAACCCCAAUUAUACAAGGCUGAUGAAUAGUGAGUAAGACUUGCCUUUUCUGCUUAUUCCUAUUUACUAAAUACUAAUAAUAUAGCAUAAUACUUGGAGAUCUUGAGAUGUACGUGUGCAAAUAUAGUAGUGCAUGCAUUGGGUGUGAAUGUCUAGGAGGUGUCUCUCUUACUUUCAAGCACUCUGACUAUUCAUUUAUCAGUUAUUAUAAUGAGAAUGUUUAAGAAACAGCUGCACCAGGUACAGAAUAAAAAGCUGUUGGUCUGGCCUCUUGAUCAGAUGUCCGAGGAUACCAGGUCAUUCAAGCAUGACUGCUCCAAAUAAACACAACAGUAUGAUGCUGUUGUAUGAGAACAAGUGGCAGAGUGCAGCUCACCAAAAUGCUAGGAGGAAUAUCAAAGUUAACAGUGCCCUUUGAGGUCUGUCCAGCUUAUCUCACAGCUUGCCAUUCAGUACCGGAAAUGUUUUUCUCCCUUCUGAUGAGCAUUCAGAAUGUUUUGCUCUUAGGUAGGAAGUCCUACCUUCUCCUCUCUGAUUCGCCUGUCCUGCUCUUCCAGGCGCUGUAAUUCAGCAAACUCC